ACCCUAAGGUGCGAAAGCGUGGGGAGCAAACAGGAUUAAAUACCCGGGUAGUCCACGCCGUAAACGAUGGGUCGACUGUAGGAGGUAUCGUGCCCUUCUGUUCCGGAGCUAACGCGUUAAGUCCACCGCCUGGGGAGUACGGCCGCAAGGUUAAAACUCAAAUGAAUUGACGGGGGCCCGCACAAGCGGUGGAGCAUGUGGUUUAAUUCGAUGCAACGCGAAGAACCUUACCUGGUCUUGACAUCCACAGACAGUUUUCAAAGAUGAGAUGUGCUUCUUCGGAAACCGUGAGACAGGUGCUGCAUGGCUGUCGUCAGCUCGUGUUGUGAAAUGUUGGGUUAAGUCCCGCAACGAGCGCAACCCUUAUCCUUUGUUGCCAUCGGUCCGGCCGGGAACUCAAAGGAAACUGCCAGUGAUAAACUGAAGGAAGGUGGGGAUGACGUCAAGUCAUCAUGGCCCUUACAACCAGGGCUACACACUUGCUACAAUGGCGCAUACAAAAAUAAGCGACCUCGCGAGAGCAAGCGGACCUCAUAACAGUGCGUCUCAUUCCGGAUUGGAGUCUGCAACUCGACUCCAUGAAGUCGGAAUCGCUAGUAAUCGUGGAUCACAAUGCCACGGUGAAUACGUUCCCGGGCCUUGUACACACCGCCCGUCACACCAUGGGAGUGGGUUGCAAAAGAAGUAGGUAACUUAACCUUCGGGAGGCCGCUUACCACUUUGUGAUUCAUGACUGGGGUGAAGUCGUACAGGGUAAGGGGAAAAGAAAAAAA
rnacentral:rRNA from 1 species